rnacentral:lncRNA from 1 species
GUUUUGCCAUGAUGCCCAGGCUGAUCUCAAACUCCUAGGCUCAAGUAAUCCUUCUGCCUUGGCUUCCCAAAGUGCUGGGAUUAUAAGCAUGAGCCACCAUGCCAGGCCAAUAUUAUUCCCCAAAAGAAGGAAAUUGGGUGUGAGGUCCUGCUCCUAUGGUCACCAUGAGAUUUUUUUGUUUGUUUUGGACUCUUGCCCAGGCUGGAGUGCAGUGGCACGAUCAUGGCUCACUGCAACCUCAGCCUCCCUGGUAGCUAGGACCACAGGUGUGCACCACUAUGCCCAGGGAAUUUUUAAGUUUUUUGUAGAGACAGGGUCUCACCAUGUUGCCCAAGCUGUUCUCAAACUCCUGGCCUCAAGCAGUCCUCCUAUCCCAAAGUGCUGAAAUUACAGGCAUGAGCCACCACGCCUGGCCACCACUAGUUUUUGUAAUGGGAGCAGGUUCCAUAUGAGAUGGAGGAAUGGAUUUCAUGAUUGUCUUUGUAAUUUCUUAGGUCCCCAAGAAAUUGAUUGGACAUGAGGAAACCACUCUAAGUGUGACCACUCUAAAGCAUUAGCAGUCAGUCAUUUCACUCUAGGGAGAAAUCAGAGCUGUAUAUGGAGAAUAGGUAAAGUCCCCAAUAUGGAUAUGUAUUUUUAUAUUUGACUGCUUGUAUUUUUUUGUUAGAUGCAAAUAGUACGGUAUUCCGAACAGACACUAAAAAUAGCUGUCAUCUCAAAGAAUCCAGUGCUUGUGUCACAGUAUGAGAAAGUAGAUGCUGGGGAACAGCGUUUAAUGAAUGAAGCAUUCCAGCCAGCCAGUGAUCUCUUUGGACCUUGCAUUCUCCAUCAGAUUGGAUCACCUCCCACCCUGAGGCCCCCCAAGACUUUGAACAGUUCUUCAGUCAUCCUUACAGAAAGAUACCCUCUCCAGACAAACGCAGUAUUUAUAUACGGUCCAUUGGAUCUCUAUGAAGCACCAGAAUUAUCAGUGAAGAAUAUAUUAAAUGGCUCACGGGCUACUGUAAAGCAUAUUUCUAUCGCUUGAGAGUAAAACUGCUAGAACCAGUUCCUGUUUCUACAACAAGGUGUUCCUUUAGAGUCAAUGAGAACACACAAAACCUACAAAUUCAUGCAGGGGACAUCCUGAAGUUCUUGAAAAAGAAGAAACCUGAAGAUGCCUUCUGUGUUGUGGGAAUAACAAUGAUUGAUCUUUACCCAAGAGACUUGUGGAAUUUUGUCUUUGGACAGGCCUCUUUGACAGAUGGGCUUCUUCCACUUGGAAGAAGCUGACCGGCGCCCUCUAAACCUUUGCCCUAUCUGUUUGCACAAGUUGCAGUGUGCUGUUAUUGGCUUCAGCAUUGUAGAAAGAUAUAAAGCACUGGUGAGGUGGAUUGAUGAUGAAUCUUCUGGCACACCUGGAGCAACUCCAGAACACAGUCGUGAGGAUAAUGGGAAUUUACUGAAACCCGUGGAAGGAAGCCUUUAAGGAAUGGAAAGAGUGGAUAAUAAAAUGCCUGACUGUUCUCCAAAAAUAAGGACCUUCAAAUAGGAGUGAUUGAAAUAAAUGACUACUUGCAUGUUAUGCUUUCAUUUGGGUGGAAUACUUCAUCAGAAUAAACUAUUGAUCUUGUGCUGUGUCAAAGUAACAGACUAGAACCUUCUUUCAAGUACCUGAAUUGAAAUGAAACUCAUUUUGAAUAAUAAAAACUCUAGAAACUCUUUAUCUUCUCAUCUUACUGGCCUGGUCUGUGGCAGCAAGCACAUUAUUUCCAUUCCCCAAAUAUGUUUAGGUCUCCCAAGAAAGCUGGGACUGGCGGUAAUGAGCAAGUAAAUAACUUGAAAAAGAACUGUAGAUGCCCCAAGGAACCAACCAACAUAAUUUCCAGGGGGUGAUUUUGUUUUUAGAAGAGCUGCUCCCCUCUGUUAGGGCCAGCCAAGUCACAUUUUUGGACGUCCGUGGACUCUGAUCACCACAGCCCUCCUCUUCCGUGAGCCUUCCUUACUCUCUCGAGUGCAUUAGCUCAUUUUUUUUCUUUUGCUGGUUGUCACCUUAUUCCUGUUUUAGUUUUUAGCAGCUUAAAAUACGACCUCUCAGGAAUAUUUGCAAGUGAAAAUAACAAUGGUCCUUACACUACCACAACAUUUGGUGGUGGGAGUUCCGUUGCAGGUCUCAGCUAUAACAUAGUCAUUUAUGAGGGAUCUUACAAAUAGUGUGUAAUGGUAUUUAUAUUUGUGAGUGUUACACUUUCUCUAUAGACUUAGAGCAGCUUUCAGGUUUAUUUCAGUAAUAAUGUCUUUCUCACCUUCUCACAUUGUGAAGUGUUUACCUGAGUCAGGGAGAGAGUUUAAUGGGGUUAUCUGUCGGGGUGCCAUGAAUGCUGAUGAUGGUCUGCAGGUUGUGAACAUCAGCCCCAUUGCUACAGGGGUGGACAGGUGGAAAAGCUCAGACUUGACAAACCACCUCUGCUAGAUAGAUGUGUCUUGGAAAUCCAGAAAUUACAGUGAAUAUUUUAUGGAAUGCCAGUGAGCAGACAGCAUUUCCCACUUUCCUAUCUUACCUUGAGGGUAAGACUUAAAGGUAUUUUUUUUUCUUGUAAUUUGAAGCCUAAAUUCUUUGAUUGUUUGAUGUAUGCAAUAUGAUGUAAGGCACAUUUUAUACCCCUAGUCAGUGGUUUCCCUUGGAUUCAUUCUCCUACUUGAUUGAACCCAUUUAAGUCAUUUUAGGAAAUGGUGGUUUGCUAUUAAAAUUAAUUGGAGAGAAUACUUGGUCAUUCUGUUAGCAAAAAGAGACUGAUGGAGCAUGGUGUUUUAUGGAUUCUGUUACAGGGCUUAUUCCUCCUUGAAUAAUGUGCUUUAAAAAUUAUUGUCCAUUCGAUUACAUUUUCUUUUAUUUUCCUACAAUGUAAGCACGGUUUUAGUCCUGUAGGUCAGCCUUUCUCACAAACUCUUUUGAACUAAGAUUUGCCUAGGUGAAUAAAUUGGGGAUGACGGUUGUCUGGAGAAGAUAUAAGGUCCAUUUGUGAAUACUCUGCACUAUGAGACCAGGAGAAAAAUCAUCUAAGAAAUCGUUCACUCUUGCUAAAAACUGAACUAAAUUUUAUAUGAUGCAUUUAUUCAGCAAUCAUAAGUGCUGUGCAUAACUAUUGUACAUAUUUUUGGACAAUUUCUUAGGGUUCAGCUUAAAAAUAUAAUUUGCCUACUGCAACU